rnacentral:rRNA from 1 species
AUUGAACGCUGGCGGUAGGCCUAACACAUGCAAGUCGAACGCGAAAGUCCUUCGGGAUGAGUAGAGUGGCGGACGGGUGAGUAACGCGUAGGAAUCUAUCCUGUAGUGGGGGAUAACGUUUCGAAAGGAACGCUAAUACCGCAUACGCCCCAAGGGGGAAAGCGGGGGAUCUUCGGACCUCGUGCUAUAGGAGGAGCCUGCGUCGGAUUAGCUAGUUGGUGAGGUAAAGGCUCACCAAGGCGACGAUCCGUAGCUGGUCUGAGAGGAUGAUCAGCCACACCGGAACUGAGACACGGUCCGGACUCCUACGGGAGGCAGCAGUGGGGAAUAUUGCGCAAUGGGCGAAAGCCUGACGCAGCCAUACCGCGUGUGUGAAGAAGGCCUCGGUUGU